rnacentral:rRNA from 1 species
ACAAGCUAGAUAAGGGCGUAUGGGGAAUGCCUAGGCUCUCAGAGGCGAUGAAGGACGCGAUAAGCUGCGAAAAGCUGUGGGGAGGUGCACAUAACUUGUGAUCCGCAGAUAUCCGAAUGGGGCAACCCACUAUAUUGAAGGUAUAGUAUCCCGUAAGGGAAGUGAACCCGGUGAACUGAAACAUCUAAGUAGCCGGAGGAAGAGAAAACAAAAGUGAUUCCGGGAGUAGUGGCGAGCGAAACCGGAUUAGCCCAAACCAGUGUUGUUUCGGCAAUACUGGGGUUGUAGGACCACGACAUUGAUUGCGUAAUGAAUUAGAACACUUUGGAAAGAGUGACCGAAGAGGGUGAUAGUCCCGUACAAGUAAAGAGCGUUAAUUAUAGUGGUAUCCUGAGUAGUGCGGGGCACGUGAAACCCUGUAUGAAUCAAGCGGGACCAUCCGUUAAGGCUAAAUACUCCUGAGAGACCGAUAGUGAACCAGUACCGUGAGGGAAAGGUGAAAAGAACCCUGAAUAAGGGAGUGAAAAAGAUCCUGAAACCAUACGCUUACAAGCGGUCGGAGCCCGUAAGGGGUGACGGCGUGCCUUUUGCAUAAUGAGCCUACGAGUUACUUUUACUAGCAAGGUUAAGCACUUCAGGUGCGGAUCCGUAGCGAAAGCGAGUCUGAAUAGGGCGACCAUAGUUAGUAGUAGUAGACGCGAAACCGUGUGAUCUACCCAUGGGCAGGUUGAAGCUUUGUUAACCCAAAGUGGAGGACCGAACCCGUUGACGUUGAAAAGUCUUGGGAUGACCUGUGGGUAGGGGUGAAAGGCCAAUCAAACUCGGAAAUAGCUCGUACUCCCCGAAAUGCAUUUAGGUGCAGCGUUUAACUAGUUUUAUAGAGGUAGAGCUACUGAUUGGAUGCGGGGGCUUCACCGCCUACCAAUUCCUGACAAACUCCGAAUGCUAUAAAAUGAUGUAAUGCAGUGAGGGCAUGGGUGCUAAGGUCCAUGUCCGAGAGGGAAAGAACCCAGACCAUCAGCUAAGGUCCCAAAAUGUAUGUUAAGUUGAAAAAACGCGGUUGGAUUGCAUAGACAGCUAGGAUGUUGGCUUGGAAGCAGCCAUUCAUUUAAAGAGUGCGUAACAGCUCACUAGUCGAGCGAUCCGGCAUGGAUAAUAAUCGGGCAUAAACAUACUACCGAAGCUAUGGACUUUAUAAAAGUGGUAGGGGAGCAUUGUAGUGUCGUCGAAGGUGAACUGCGAGGUUUGCUGGAGAAGCUACAAAAGAAAAUGUAGGCAUAAGUAACGAUAAUGCGGGCGAGAAACCCGCACACCGAAAGACUAAGGUUUCCUCAGCUAUGCUAAUCAGCUGAGGGUUAGUCGGGACCUAACGCGAACCCGAAAGGGGUAGUGGAUGGACAACCAGUUAAUAUUCUGGUACCUGCCGGCGCUAAACGUGACGGAGGGGAUGAGUUAUUGCGUACUGACGGAAUAGUACGUUGAAGCAACUGUUAAGGUUGUGAUAGUACACCAAGGCUUCGGCUGCGGUGAUAAUAUAGCAAAUCCACUUCCAAGAAAAGCAAGCCAGGCAGCCCGUACCGUAAACCGACACAGGUAGUUGGGAUGAGAAUUCUAAGGUGCUCGAGAGAUUCAUGGCUAAGGAACUAGGCAAAAUCGACCCGUAACUUCGGGAGAAGGGUCGCCACGCUUCGGCGUGGCCGCAGUGAAUAGGUCCAGGCGACUGUUUAUCAAAAACACAGGGCUCUGCUAAAUCGAAAGAUGAUGUAUAGGGCCUGACACCUGCCCGGUGCUGGAAGGUUAAGAGGAGAUGUUAGCUUCGGCGAAGCAUUGAAUUGAAGCCCCAGUAAACGGCGGCCGUAACUAUAACGGUCCUAAGGUAGCGAAAUUCCUUGUCGGGU